rfam:Haemonchus contortus, ISE/inbred ISE, WGS project CAVP01000000 data, contig: Hcontortus_45959
GACACAAGCUUGAAGUAGAGUAGAUUAGUAUGGUCAGCUAAUCCUACUAAUCUACCCUACUUCGAAUUAUUUGAGCCC